rnacentral:rRNA from 1 species
GACAGAGGGUGCAAACGUUGUUCGGAUUUACUGGGCGUAAAGCGCGUGUAGGCGGCUUUGCAAGUCGGAUGUGAAAGCCCACGGCUCAACCGUGGAAGUGCAUCCGAAACUGCAUGGCUGGAGUCUCGGAGAGGAAGGUGGAAUGCUUGGUGUAGAGGUGAAAUUCGUAGAUAUCAAGCAGAACACCUGCGGCGAAGGCGGCUCACUGGACGACUGUUGACGCUGAGGUGCGAAAGCGUGGGGAGCAAACAGG